CCUACGGGAGGCAGCAGUAAGGAAUAUUGGUCAAUGGACGCAAGUCUGAACCAGCCAUGCCGCGUGAAGGAUUAAGGCCCUCUGGGUUGUAAACUUCUUUUAUAGGGGACGAAAAAAGGGCAUUCUUGCUCACUUGACGGUACCCUAGGAAUAAGCACCGGCUAACUCCGUGCCAGCAGCCGCGGUAAUACGGAGGGUGCAAGCGUUAUCCGGAUUUACUGGGUUUAAAGGGUGCGUAGGUGGGUUGGUAAGUCAGUGGUGAAAUCUUCGAGCUUAACUCGGAAACUGCCAUUGAUACUAUCAAUCUUGAAUCAUCUAGAGGUAAGCGGAAUAUGUCAUGUAGCGGUGAAAUGCUUAGAUAUGACAUAGAACACCAAUUGCGAAGGCAGCUUACUAUGGAUGCAUUGACACUGAGGCACGAAAGCGUGGGGAUCAAACAGGAUUAGAUACCCUGGUAGUCCACGCCCUAAACGAUGGAUACUCGACAUUUGUGAUAUACAAUAAGUGUCUGAGCGAAAGCAUUAAGUAUCCCACCUGGGAAGUACGACCGCAGGUUGAAACGUUAAGAUAGUAGCGUGNGAGAGCGACGACGACGACGACGGAGGGAGG
rnacentral:rRNA from 1 species